rnacentral:rRNA from 1 species
GACGAACGCUGGCGGCGUGCUUAACACAUGCAAGUCGUACGGUAAGGCCCUUUCGGGGGUCCCCGAGUGGCGAACGGGUGGGUAACACGCGAGUAAGCUGCCCAUAACUUUGGGAUAAGGCUAGGAAACUGGUGCCAAUUCUGGAUACGUGCUACUUCUGCACGGUGGGGGUUCGAAAGCUCCGGCGGUUGUGGAUUGACUUGCGGGCUAUCAGCUUGUUGGAGGGGUAGUGGCCUACCGAGGCGGCGACGGGCAGCCGGACUGAGAGGGUGACCGGCCACAUUAGGACUGAGAGACGGCCCAGACGCCGACGGGAGGCAGCAGGGGGGAAUAUUGCACAAGGGGCGCAAGCCUGAUGCAGCAGCGCCGCGUGCGGGAUGACGGCCUUCGGGUGGAAAAACGCUUUCAGCAGGGACGAAGCUUUUUGUGACGGUACCUGCAGAAGAAGCACCGGCUAACUACGUG